UGGGGAAUAUUGCACAAUGGAGGGAACUCUGAUGCAGCGACGCCGCGUGAACGAAGAAGGCUUUCGAGUCGUAAAGUUCUUUUAUAUGGGAAGAUAAUGACGGUACCAUAAGAAAAAGCCCCGGCUAACUACGUGCCAGCAGCCGCGGUAAUACGUAGGGCGCGAGCGUUGUCCGGAAUUAUUGGGCGUAAAGGGCUUGUAGGUGGCUGGUUGCGUCUGUCGUGAAAGCUCAUGGCUUAACUGUGGGUUUGCGGUGGGUACGGGCUGGCUUGAGUGCAGUAGGGGAGGCUGGAAUUCCUGGUGUAGCGGUGGGAUGAGCAGAUAUCAGGAGGAAUACCGGUGGCGAAGGCGGGUCUCUGGGCUGUUACUGACGCUGAGGAGCGAAAGCGUGGGGAGCGAACAGG
rnacentral:rRNA from 1 species